rnacentral:rRNA from 1 species
UAAGGAAUAUUGCGCAAUGGGCGAAAGCCUGACGCAGCGACGCCGCGUGGGGGAUGAAGGUCUUCGGAUUGUAAACCCCUUUCGGGAGGGAAGAUGGAAUGGGGUAACCCAUUCGGACGGUACCUCCAGAAGCAGCCACGGCUAACUUCGUGCCAGCAGCCGCGGUAAUACGAAGGUGGCAAGCGUUAUUCGGAUUUACUGGGCGUACAGGGAGCGUAGGCGGUUCGGUAAGCCCUUUGUGAAAUCUCCAGGCUUAACCUGGAAAAGUCGGAGGGGACUGCCGGGCUAGAGGACGGGAGAGGAGCGCGGAAUUCCCGGUGUAGCGGUGAAAUGCGUAGAGAUCGGGAGGAAGGCCGGUGGCGAAGGCAGCCCCCUGGGCCAACACUGACGCUCAGGCACGAAAGCGUGGGGAGCAAACAGGAUUAGAUACCCCGGUAGUCCCUGAGCGGGCUGGCAAGGCGCAU